GCUGACACAUCCCAGCCAAUCUCCAGCAGACCCUCCCUCCCAGACCCUUCCACCUCCUGGACAGCAUCCAUGUUGAAGCUGCCUUUAACAUGGAUGCUGUCCAGGAGGUGGGAGGGUCUGGGAGGGGGGGUCUGCUGGAGAUUGGCCGGGAUGUGUCAG